GUGGGGAAUAUUGGACAAUGGGCGAAAGCCUGAUCCAGCCAUGCCGCGUGUGUGAAGAAGGUCUUCGGAUUGUAAAGCACUUUAAGUUGGGAGGAAGGGCAGUAAGUUAAUACCUUGCUGUUUUGACGUUACCAACAGAAUAAGCACCGGCUAACUUCGUGCCAGCAGCCGCGGUAAUACGAAGGGUGCAAGCGUUAAUCGGAAUUACUGGGCGUAAAGCGCGCGUAGGUGGUUUUGUAAGUUGGAGGUGAAAUCCCCGGGCUCAACCUGGGAACUGCCUACAAAACUGCAUGACUAGAGUACGGUAGAGGGUAGUGGAAUUUCCUGUGUAGCGGUGAAAUGCGUAGAUAUAGGAAGGAACACCAGUGGCGAAGGCGACUACCUGGACUGAUACUGACACUGAGGUGCGAAAGCGUGGGGAGCAAACAGGAUUAGAAACCCGGGUAGUCC
rnacentral:rRNA from 1 species